UCAUGCUGAGUCACAUUUCUGCCCCUCUGUCUUUCUAUUUGUGCCCUCUUUUCAAACUGGCUGCUAAUUUGGUCUGCGGUUUUGGACACGGAAGAUGAGCAGGCGAGGGAGGCCCGUCUCAGCGUAGCUUUUAUCUUCAAACCCGUGCAGCAGACGCCCUUGGAAGGCCAAGCGGCAUGCAUUAGCGUGGAUGUCCGCGUCUAGCUUGGAGCCAAUCACCAGGCAGAGUAAGGGGCACGUGACAGGCCGCUCAAACUCCAACAGUGCCCACUGCUCUGGCUCGGGUCCUGAACUGGACUCUCGCUGGCCGGUGACGUAGCCUUCCUGGUAGAGGUACUCCCUGUCGAAGGUGAAGGCCGUUUCCAGCGAGCAGGGCUCUUGAUGUGGCGUGUUUGG